rnacentral:tRNA from 1 species
GGGGUUGUGGCUCAGUGGAAGAGCGCUCGCGUAGCACAUGAGAGGUAAUAGGUUUGAUCCUCAGCACCA